rnacentral:rRNA from 1 species
UUUUUUUGUGGUGGAGCUAAUAAGUCCUGCGCGUAGGGCGAUGAGAGUACAUCACGAAUAAGCAUCGGCUGACUCCGUGCCAGCAGCCGCGGUAAUGCGGAGGAUACAAGCGUUAUCCGGAUUUAUUGGGUUUAAAGGGUGCGUAGGCUGCGCAGCAAGUCAGAGGUGAAAGCCCGGGGCCUAACUCCGGAACUGCCUUUGAUACUGCUGUGCUGGAAUACGAAUGCCGUGGGAGGAAUGAGUAGUGUAGCGGUGAAAUGCAUAGAUCUUACGGAGAACACCGAUUGCGAAGGCAUCUCACGAAUCCGUCAUUGACGCUGAGGCACGAAAGGGUGGGGAUCAAAACAAGGAUUAGAAUACCCUGGUUAGUCCACGCAGUAAACGAUGAUGACUAACCGUCGGCGAUACACAGUCGGUGGCCAAGCGAAAGCGAUAAGUCAUCCACCUGGGGAGUACGUUCGCAAGAAUGAAACUCAAAGGAAUUGACGGGGGCCCGCACAAGCGGAGGAACAUGUGGUUUAAUUCGAUGAUACGCGAGGAACCUUACCCGGGCUCGAACGGCAAGUGAAGAGAUCCAGAGAUGGUGACGCCCUUCGGGGCACUUGUCGAGGUGCUGCAUGGUUGUCGUCAGCUCGUGUCGUGAGAUGUUGGCUCAAGUGCCAUAACGAGCGCAACCCUUGUCACUAGUUACCAGCAUGCAAUGAUGGGGACUCUAGUGAGACUGCCACCGCAAGGUGUGAGGAAGGCGGGGAUGACGUCAAAUCAGCACGGCCCUUACGUCCGGGGCGACACACGUGUUACAAUGGUGACUACAGAGGGAUGCCACCCGGCGACGGGGAGCGGAUCUCGAAAAGUCAUCUCAGUUCGGAUUGGAGUCUGCAACUCGACUCCAUGAAGCUGGAUUCGCUAGUAAUCGCGCAUCAGCCAUGGCGCGGUGAAUACGUUCCCGGGCCUUGCACACACCGCCCGUCAAG